UGUGGAGGUUCCAUGCUAGGCUAUUCAUCUGGACAUCAGAAUGGUACAAGUUCUAUGACAUUUCAAGAAGAUCAGUCUUGCCAGGGAGGAGGGAUGUGAUAAUCUCAAUCAUUCACAAUAAGAUUUCUUAAGAUGUCAGACAUCUGCUCAACAUAAAAAGGGAAAUCCUGACACUGAUGUAAAAAUAUGUUCCUAAACUUUCAGCUUUUAGAGACCACAUGCUUUGCUCGACUCAAGACCUCUUCCUCCUUCAGUGCUAACAGCACAGCAUCUCUGUCUUUGACUCAAGCUCUUUAGCCUCAUUCUCCCACCUACAAGGACCCUCAUGGUUACACUGGGCCCAACUGCGUAAUCUAGGAUAACUCUCCCCACCUCGAAGUCAGCUGAUAAGUAACCUU